rnacentral:SRP_RNA from 1 species
GUCGGGCAUGGUGGUGCGUGACUGUAGUCCCAGCUAUUUGGGAAGCUGAGGUGGGAGGAUUGCUUCAGCCCAGGAGUUCUGGGCUGUAGUGUGCUGUGCCAAUCGGGUGUCCGGCAUCAGUGUGGAGACCUCCAGGGAGCGGGAGACCACUAGUUGCCUAAGAGGGGUGAACCAGCCCAGGUCAGAAAUGGAGCAGUCAAACUCCCAUGCUGAUCAGUAGUGGAUUGCACCUGUGAAUAGCACUGCACUGCAGCUGGCAACAUAGCGAGACCCUGUCUCUA